rnacentral:rRNA from 1 species
AGCGAACGCUGGCGGCGUGCUUAACACAUGCAAGUCGAACGAGAACGGGUUAUAGCUUGCUAUAAUUGUCAGCUAAGUGGCGCACGGGUGAGUAAUGUAUAGGUAAUAUGCCUCUUACUAAGGGAUAACAAAUGGAAACGUUCGCUAAUACCUUAUACUCCUUAUUAACAGAAGUUAAUAAGGGAAAGAUUUAUUGGUAAGAGAUUAGACUGUAUUUUAUCAGUUAGUUGGUGGGGUAAUGGCUUACCAAGACUAUGACACAUAACUGGUUUGAGAGGAUGAUCAGUCACACUGGAACUGAGACACGGUCCAGACUCCUACGGGAGGCAGCAGUGGGGAAUAUUGCACAAUGGACGAAAGUCUGAUGCAGCAACGCCGCGUGGAGGAUGACACAUUUCGGUGCGUAAACUCCUUUUAUAUGAGAAGAUAAUGACGGUAUUAUAUGAAUAAGCACCGGCUAACUCCGUGCCAGCCGCCGCCGUAAAAC